rnacentral:lncRNA from 1 species
GCGGUGCUCUGCAGUGUGACCAUUAACAGAACCGCAGACCUCGGCUGUGGUCAGCCGGGCUCGCGCGUUACCUUUCUGGCACUCAGCCACCACAUCUUCAGGCCAGCCGUCUCUGUUUGCGGUGUGCGUAGGCGUGAGCUCCCAGCUUGGGAUGUUCUCAAAGAUCCUGCAUUUUGAGCCAGCCCAUCGGAGGCUGGAGGCACUUCUAAAGCCCACACUGGAGAUGCGCAGGAGGGAGGGGGAUGUGGCCAGCAGUCCCGUGGUCGCCUUAGCCACAAGCCACAAGGUUUAGGCUGCUGAGUGCUCAUCCUGAUCUUCCUGGAGCUGCAUGUGACCAGCAAAUGCUCCCAAACCAGACACCUGGAGAGACCUGCCACCAAGUCUCCGUGGUACACUGGCAUCCCCCGGGGCCUGCUCCGGAGUGCGGGCCGCUUCCGUCCACCAUAGAACGCGAGGUCCAUUUCAUCUAGAAGAAGUGAGCACUGGUGCUGCGCUCCCCAAGCAGGCCCAGCGUGGAGGAGAUGGAAGAACGCCUGUCUGCUCGGGGUGGGGACGUCGAGCAGCGCCCUCUCAAGACCCGGACCCUCCCCUCCCCGGCCGAGCAGUGAGCCAGGAACCGAGAGAUGCCCACAGGACGGCUUGUCGCGGGGCUUUUUCAGCAGAUUUCGGAUCUAGGAAAGGACGCUAAGAGUGACCUUAAGCAGAAAGUCGGCUCUGUCCUCAUUCCGCAGAGCAGCACGCCUACGGGUAGUGUUAUGAUUUAGAUCUACAGUGACCCCCAGAACCCCCAGGUGGCGCACGCCUGUAAUCGCAGCACUUGCAGAGGCUGAGGCAGGAGGAUCCUUGCGAGUUCAAGGCCAGACUGAACUGCAUAGUCAGACCCUGUCUCAAAAAGACAAAACAAAAAACAACAAAAAGCCGGGUGAGGCGGUACAUGCCUGUAAUCCCAGCACUUGGGAGGCUGAGGCAGGAGGGUCGUUGCCAGUUCGGGGCCAGCCUGAACUGCAGAGCAAGACCCUGUUUCAAAAAGACAAAAAAAAAAUUGACCCCUGAGAAGUGUCAUGUGUUCAAAGGUACAGCGUUCAGAAGGUGAUUAGGUCACGGGGACACUUCUCACCAGUGGAUCAGGGUUCCUGUCCUGGGCUCCUCCCCUCUCUCUCAGCUUCCUGCCUCCUAUGGAGUGAGCAGGUUUCCUCCCCGAGGCCCUUCUGCCUGGCGUUUCUGCCUUGGAGCCAG